AGUCUAUUCAGAGGAACCUGUCCUAUGAUCGAUAGUCCACGAUUUUAUUUACUUAUUUUUUUAAUUUACAUAUCGUCGUAGUUUGAAUAUUUUAAUAGAAAUUUAAAUAUUCAAGAUUCUUAUUGGAAGGAAUUCAGAUCAAGGUGUAGUUUAUAAAUAAGAAGAGAUGGGUAACAAUAAAAUUUAUUUAUACAGUUAAGUAUUUUUAAUACUACUUAUAAGGUGGAUUUGAUGGUAAUUUUUUUUAAAUUUUAAAAAUGAUUUUAGCUCUAAAAUAUGUACAUAUCGCCCGUCGCUUUCAUUUUAAGGUGAAAUAAGUCGUAACAAAGUAGGUGUACCGGAAGGUGUACCUGGAAAAU
rnacentral:rRNA from 1 species